CUCCCACACACCUGGAAAAGGACUUAUCUCCAGGAAUUUGCACUUAGGAUGUCCCACCAGAAUGGUCUUGCUUAGAUGCAAGUAUUCUCUGCAUAGUGCUGUGCGCAAGGAUAAAGAAAAUGAGAUAAAGAUGGACCAUCUGGGAAGGCCAGGCUGUCCUCCGGAGUCAUCAAGGAGAGAAGUUCUGGGAAGGAAGGAAGAUGGGAUGGGAAGAGAUCCCUCACUACUUGUGAGGGUAGCAAGAGAGCCCAGGGUUUCUGAGGUUGAGAUCUGUACCCCUGGACCAUCAGUUUGAGAGUGGUUGAGCC